AGUUAAAAAACUUAAGAAAAGUAUAUGUUUUGAAAACAUAAUAAAGAAGUUUAAAUCUUCUAUUAACUU
rnacentral:tRNA from 1 species